CCUACGGGUGGCAGCAGUUGGGAAUAUUGGACAAUGGGCGAAAGCCUGAUCCAGCCAUGCCGCGUGUGUGAAGAAGGCCUUCGGGUUGUAAAGCACUUUCAGUGGGGAAGAAAGCCUUGGGGCUAAUACCCUCGAGGAAGGACAUCACCCACAGAAGAAGCACCGGCUAACUCCGUGCCAGCAGCCGCGGUAAUACGGAGGGUGCGAGCGUUAAUCGGAAUUACUGGGCGUAAAGCGCGCGUAGGCGGUCUGAUAAGCCGGUUGUGAAAGCCCCGGGCUCAACCUGGGAACGGCAUCCGGAACUGUCAGGCUAGAGUGCAGGAGAGGAAGGUAGAAUUCCCGGUGUAGCGGUGAAAUGCGUAGAGAUCGGGAGGAAUACCAGUGGCGAAGGCGACCUUCUGGACUGACACUGACGCUGAGGUGCGAAAGCGUGGGUAGCAAACAGGAUUAGAUACCCUGGUAGUC
rnacentral:rRNA from 1 species